ACUUAAUUUGGGCCGAGAUGGACAAGCUUCAUAAGGGACUUGUGGUUACUCAGACACAGAAGAGUGAGAGUUGGGUGCUUCCUUUUCCGAGUUUGAUUACUAAACUGUUGCUAGAUCAGGGUUUCCCGAUAGAUACGGAUGAGAUUGUUGUUAACGAGCGUGUUGGCAUGUAUGGUAAGUCUUAUUGGACUGUAUUGGACUGCUAGUGUUCAGUCUAUGCUUCCAACUCGGACAAAUCGACAGCCUGCCCCUCCUCCUGUGCCUAUUCCAGUGGAACUGCUCCUGCACCUUUUCAGAUGACCUCCGAGCAGUAUGAGCAACUGUGUCAGGAAGUUCGUGGUUUAUGGCAGGACAUCAUUGCUUACCGUACUCAAGUCUCAACAAGACUUUUUGGAGUUCAGAUCCCAGUAUCAGCAGGAUAUGUUAGAUCUCCGGUCUCUUUUGCAGGCUAUUCUUGAUGCCCAGCAACGUCCUCCUAGGGUGUGAGUGUUGUGUGCGAGUGGCAUGGUCUGAAUCUCAUAGUCUGUUGUUCUUCUUAAGACUUGCAGCUAACUUUUGGAUGGAUAGUAUGACUUUCUGGUUUUAUAUAUAUGUAUAUAUUGUAUCGUGAUCCAUCUCUUUUUGGUGCAUAUCAGCUGCUUAUCUAGUUGCAGGUUCACACAAAGUUUAGUUGGGGGGGAUAUCCCUCUUCCUUUUUCUUGCAUAUUUGUGUUGGCCAUGCUCGAGGUGAUAUCUCUUAUUCUCUUCUUUGGGUUAUUUGUGUUGUCUCUUUGAUAUGUCAUUGAUGUAGUGAAUUGGAUGCCUUGUGGACAUUGUGAUCAAGUUAAUUAUAAUGUGAAUUGCAUUGAUGUGGAAUCAAUGAAAACAAAUCAAGGAAUUAAACUUGUGCAUAUGCUUACUUGUCUUACUGAUCUCUUUACUUAGUAACCAGGUAUCUUGCCUCAAUAAGCAAUGAGUGUUCGUGUCAAACCGUGAGAGUCUUGGAAAGAAUGUAAUGCGAGGUUAACUUGAGUUUGUAGCCUAUUUAAUUCUAGUUAGUGAGCCGUAGGGUUGUUUAACUGGUUUGGGAGUCACUGGUCCAAACCUUGAUACAUGGGUUAUUUAGAAAGCAUAAGGGACCCAAGCAUUGCACUACCCACAUUCAAGCAUAGUGAUGCAAUUAACGUGACAAAGGAUCAUAAGUGCAACAAAAAGCUUGAUUCACUGAUGAACAUGGGAAAUUUGAUGGGGUUAUGGGAUUUGGUGAUAUGUGUUCAAGGAUUAAGUUGGGGCCACAUCUUUAUGUUAACAUUCACUUUACACCAAAGGCACUUAUGAUAUCUUACUAUCUGAUUAUACACAGUAGAGAACUUGACUUGCAUUGUUGGAGAUAGUGAAUUGUUCAAUUGCUUAACUGUGUUCAUGAAUGAGAAUUGUGUUUGAACUCAAUUGAUGUGUGCAAUGGUUGUGUGGGAGUUGAGGCGUUGCUUGAAUUUAGAGUCUUCAUUGAAUAUGUAUUUUGUGGUGAGAGACUAACAUGGAUGAAUUUUGUGUGUAAAUUCAUUGCAAAUCCUCACGAGAUUAUAACUUGGUUACUAGGAAUAACCUUGUAGUUUAAAGACUUGUUACACAUGGUAAAGUAGUUGUGAGUCCGACGAAGUGGCCUAUGAUAGUUUAUUUUAGUUUUUUUUUUUUUUUUUCUUUUUACUUUGCUCAAGGACUUGCAUUUGCUAAGUCUCAAGUCAUUGUUACUUGGCUUAAUUAUUCCACUUAUAUGUGUUUUUUUGUAGUUGAACUCUUAUGGUGGGAUAGUUCUUUAAUGGCGUUUUUCAGAAGUUUGCGGAGCCUUGAUGAUAGAGUGGCAAUUGGGUUACAAGAACAAGAAGGAAAAUUAAGUUUCAGCACUUUUCUGCCUGGGCGAGGGGAGCAGAAACAGAAUUAGCUCUCAGCAUUUUUCUGCCCGAAUCCAACUGAUGGAUUCACAAAUAUUCCAUUAACAGAAUCGAACUUCAAACUGCAGAAACCAUAUGACAUACCACUUGAGCAGCACUACAGUUUCCAAAAUGGAGUUCACUGCUUGUGGGUCUAUGCCGAUGACAAGCCAUAUGACCCCAGUAGUCCUAGCCAGCCCCGCACCGAGAUUCGCAUACUAGAGCCCUUACCCAUUAGAAAGCCGAACAAGAGGAGUCUAGAGGGGUUUGCAGACAUUGGGGGUUUGCGAGGGAUCUACAAGUGCUCCCUCAAAGAGGGCUGAGCCAUAGUGGCAAAAUAUCCAUGGUGCAGCCAAUGAUCCCAAAGGCACAACAAUACUAUGAAGGAUCUUUAAUGGGGACAUGAGGUGCUAUAGCCACGACUUAGUGACCACUGAUCUGUAUGAUAAAUGGUGCAGACUAAACAUAAUCCAUAAUGUGGAUAAAGGGAGUGUGAAAGUCUUCAUCGAGGGCUCAAAAACAGUUUGGUGAAGGAUAGAGGCCCCGGUGAUUCGUUCUUUAAGUGUGGAGUUUAUGCUGCACCAACUAAUGUAAGCUACUAUAUGAGUCAAGGUGGAAAGACAUCAAAAUAUUCAAGAAGUGCAAUUAAAAGCCUCGUGUAAGACAAGUAUACAAGUUUGCUUGUGGGAUGAUUGAUAGAGCAUUUAUGAAAGGUUAGUUCAUAGUCCUAUAUAUGUCAUGGGUGUACUUUUUUUAUGGUAAACAAUCAGUCUUUCAUAUAUGCAAAGGUUUUUUUUUUUUCUGUUUUUUUUGGGCGAAAUAUUCAGUCAUUAAUUUAUGUGAAAAUUUUGAUGUACGAAAAAUCUCGAGACACGAUCCAACAAUGAUGAGUAUGUAAGACAAAUAGGUAAAAGGAUUUGGAGGCUAAGAAUUGAGUAUCCAUUUCUCUACUAUGGCGUAAAAAAAAAAUAAAAAUAAAUUCUCUGCUAUGGAUUCUCUCUCUCCUUCCUUGUCUCUAUGUUUGGAGACACAGAUGCAUUUAUGCACAAUAGGUUCUCUCGCCUACCCUGUCACUCCAUAUUACAUCUCUGUCAUAUAAUGGAUCUCUCUAACUUGAUCAUAUGUAGAAAG